rnacentral:rRNA from 1 species
GACAUGUAAGUGGUAGUGAUCUGAAAAGUGAACGACCCUUCGGGGAGCUUACACAGGUGCUGCAUGGCUGUCGUCAGCUCGUGUCGUGAGAUGUUCGGUUUAAGUCCGCUAACGAGCGCAACCCUCACUGUGUGUUACAUGUGUCACACGGGACUGCCGGUUUUUAAGCCGGAGGAAGGCGAGGAUGACGUCAAGUCAGCAUGGCCUUUUAUAUCUUGGGCUACACACACGCUACAAUGGUCUGUACAAUAGGUUGCCAAGCCGCGAGGCGGAGCCAAUCCUUAAAGCAGGCCUCAGUUCAGAUUGCAGGCUGCAACCCGCCUGCAUGAAGAUGGAGUUGCUAGUAACCGCAGGUCAGCUAUACUGCGGUGAAUACGUUCCCGGGUCUU